CACGUAGGGCGCAAGCGUUGUCCGGAAUUAUUGGGCGUAAAGAGCUCGUAGGCGGUCUGUUGCGUCCGCUGUGAAAACCCAGGGCUUAACCCUGGGCUGGCAGUGGAUACGGACAGACUAGAGGUAGGUAGGGGAGAAUGGAAUUCCCGGUGUAGCGGUGAAAUGCGCAGAUAUCGGGAAGAACACCCGGGGCGAAGGCGGCUCUCUGGGACGGUACUGACGCUGAGACGCGAAAGCGUGGGGAGCGAACAGG
rnacentral:rRNA from 1 species